rnacentral:rRNA from 1 species
GCAUAUUCUAUAUAGCGGGAGGGAAAAAGGAAAACCAACAGGGAUUGCCCCAGUAACGGCGAGUGAAGCGGCAACAGCUCAAAAUUUGAAAAUCUGGCCCCAGGCCCGAGUUGUAAUUUGCAGAGGAUGCUUUUUGGCGCGGUGCCUUCCGAGUUUCCCUGGAACGGGACGCCAUAGAGGGUGAGAGCCCCGUACGGUUGGACACCAAGUCUUUGUAAAGCUCCUUCGACGAGUCGAGUAGUUUGGGAAUGCUGCUCAAAAUGGGAGGUAUAUUUCUUCUAAAGCUAAAUAUUGGCCAGAGACCGAUAGCGCACAAGUAGAGUGAUCGAAAGAUGAAAAGCACUUUGAAAAGAGGGUUAAACAGCACGUGAAAUUGUUAAAAGGGAAGCGCUUAUGACCAGACUUGCGCCCGGUGAAUCACCCAGCUCUCGCGGCUGGGGCACUUUGCCGGCUCAGGCCAGCAUCAGCUCGCUGUCGGGGACAAAAGCUUCGGGAACGUAGCUCUCUUCGGGGAGUGUUAUAGCCCGUUGCACAAUACCCUUCGGCGGGCUGAGGUACGCGCUCCGCAAGGAUGCUGGCGUAAUGGUCAUCAGCGACCCGUCUUGAAACACGGACCAAGGAGUCAACCUUAUGUGCGAGUGUUUGGGUGUCAAACCCCUACGCGUAAUGAAAGUGAACGCAGGUGAGAGCUUCGGCGCAUCAUCGACCGAUCCUGAUGUUCUCGGAUGGAUUUGAGUAAGAGCAUAUAGGGUUGGACCCGAAAGAAGGUGAACUAUGCGUGUAUAGGGUGAAGCCAGAGGAAACUCUGGUGGAGGCUCGCAGCGGUUCUGACGUGCAAAUCGAUCGUCAAAUAUGCGCAUGGGGGGCGAAAGACUAAUCGAACCUUCUAGUAGCUGGAUUCCGCCGAAG